AAAACACAUUGGGAUGGUAGACAUAAAAUAAAUGUAUUUGUCUUUUUACAGCUAUCAACAAAGUAUGGAUGUAAGGCCACAGAGGUUUGUCAACAUAUGAGGACAAAUAUAAACAACAUGGGGAAGUGUUGCAAAGUACAGAAAAGCAAACAAGAACAAGAACUUAUUUGAGGACUAUGUUUUGAGGCCAGUUUUAAACUUAACUUUAAAUGUCAAUUAUGGUUAUUACCUAUGGUUUAGACCAUUAAGCGCCAGCGCUCUGACGAGUAAAAUCGUCUGGCGUUAGACAGAGUAAACUAUAGUAAAAUAAAGUAGGGCGCAAUGUGAUUCAAUGGGUUAACUAGACACAUAUAUAGGAAUAUAGGCUAGUUAACCCAUUCAGAGCCAGCAUUUCCCCUUGACAUUCAAGUACAAUUGUCUGGAGUUAGACAGAGUAAAAUAGUCUGGCAUUAGACAAAGUAAAAUAGUUAGACAGAGUAAAAUAAUAAAGUAGGACGCAUCAUAUGGCA